rnacentral:lncRNA from 1 species
CGCCGAAUCAGACAGAUCUAGCUGCACAAAAAUGUCCGGAACCUUGUCAUUGGUGAUGAAAAACGAAACACUCUGGCUGCACAAUAAUAUGCAGGUGGCCGGCCGGAUCGCCAUUCAUCCGGGAUGUUUGUACUCCGGCAUUUGAGUAAGUACUCCGUCCGGAAAUAUUUGUCGGAGGAAUAGACGUAUCUAGACGUAUUUUAGUUUUAGAUACAUCUAUUUUUAUACAUUUUUUCAUAAGUAUUUCGGAACGGAGGAAGUACGACACAAGCAGAUGAUAAACUAGAUUAUUUCCGGAAUUCGCUCCAUGUCCAUGACGAGCACGGACACCCAAGGAAAAAGAUAAGCACUCCCCAUGCUCUAUUCUAAGAGAUGCAACGAUCGAUGCCCUUUUGAGUUCACCUGAAGCUCAUUCCACGGAAAGCAAUGGCGUUGCCACAAACUGAAGUACUCCGUAUCCAAAAGUGACACCUUUCCCACAGUUACACAACGGGAAUGUGUGGCAGAUAUACUACCUUGAGCUGACAGCAAUGGGGGUAUGGAAAAGGGUCGAAUAAACCAGAGAAAGUUGCUGCCGCGGUGCGGAGAUCCACAUCCAUCAAUCAACCAGUACAUACAUAGAUAGAGGCGGCAGAGAGAGAGCUCACCUUGGAAGUAGGAGCCGGCCUGCAGGCGAGAGGAGGAUGGCAGGGACUGCAAAGGGCAAAAUGACUGCUAGUAGUGUUGCUGCUGUCUAGGUUCCAUCCUCUCCAUGGGCGCCAUCAGAUCCCCUUUUCCUUGACCGUUGAAGGGACAACAGGGCGCACAUGGGCUACCGGAGGCGCCACGGAAC